AGUGGAUAAAAUGGUAUUAUUCAACUAAUCCCAUUUAUCCCAAUGAUUUAUAUUCAGUGAACUGUAAUAACAACGUUGUAAUUACAGUUCACUGUUUAUAAUUGAAAAUGAUAAAAGAUAAGAUUAGAGGGUCAGCAAAAAACGAUGUACAUGUUGUAUGAGUUCAUGCUACGUAAUUUAUCGCUGAAUACGAAAACUUUUUUCUGCACUCGUCAAAAGCAGUUAUGUUACGCUUGAAUUUUCACAAAUACACCUUGCAAACUGUGAAAAGGAAAUUGUUAAAAUUAAUGUACAGGAAUAACCAUAUAUAUAUAAUUAUAUAUAUUUAUAUGCAUUGUAAUUUGUAGGCAUGGUUUGCAUUUUGUAUAAAUCUAGUGCCAUAACUACAAGAAAUGAGCAAUGUAUAAAUUAAUAGAAUGGAUUGUAAAAUCUCUGUGGGAGUGCUCACUUACAAGGCAAAUGAGUACACCACAAUUAAAGCUGUCCUGCUGUGAGAAA